UCGCCGUGAAAGUCCAUCGGGAAAUCCACCCGCUCAACGGGUGGACGUCCGGUGGAAACUCCACGGCUUGGGACCGGAGGACCCGAGGGGUACGUCGGGGGUAGGAGUGAAAUCCUGAGAUCCUCGACGGACCACCGGUGGCGAAAGCGCCUCGGGAAGACGGAUCCGACAGUCAGGGACGAAAGCUUGGGUCUCGAACCGGAUUAGAUACCCGGGUAGUCCAAGCCGUAAACGAUGCUCGCUAGGUGUGGCGUAGGCUACGGGCCUGCGCUGUGCCAAAGGGAAGCCGCGAAGCGAGCCGCCUGGGAA
rnacentral:rRNA from 1 species